AGCUUGCUGCUUUGCUGACGAGUGGCGGACGGGUGAGUAAUGUCUGGGAAACUGCCCGGUGGAGGGGGAUAACUACUGGAAACGGUAGCUAAUACCGCAUAACGUCGCAAGACCAAAGAGGGGGACCUUCGGGCCUCUUGCCACCGGAUGUGCCCAGAUGGGAUUAGCUUGUUGGUGAGGUAACGGCUCACCAAGGCGACGAUCCCUAGCUGGUCUGAGAGGAUGACCAGCCACACUGGAACUGAGACACGGUCCAGACUCCUACGGGAGGCAGCAGUGGGGAAUAUUGCACAAUGGGCGCAAGCCUGAUGCAGCCAUGCCGCGUGUAUGAAGAAGGCCUUCGGGUUGUAAAGUACUUUCAGCGGGGAGGAAGGGAUUGUGGUUAAUAACCGCAGUCAUUGACGUUACCCGCAGAAGAAGCACCGGCUAACUCCGUGCCAGCAGCCGCGGUAAUACGGAGGGUGCAAGCGUUAAUCGGAAUUACUGGGCGUAAAGCGCACGCAGGCGGUCUGUCAAGUCGGAUGUGAAAUCCCCGGGCUCAACCUGGGAACUGCAUUCGAAACUGGCAGGCUUGAGUCUCGUAGAGGGGGGUAGAAUUCCAGGUGUAGCGGUGAAAUGCGUAGAGAUCUGGAGGAAUACCGGUGGCGAAGGCGGCCCCCUGGACGAAGACUGACGCUCAGGUGCGAAAGCGUGGGGAGCAAACAGGAUUAGAUACCCUGGUAGUCCACGCCGUAAACGAUGUCUACUUGGAGGCUGUGCCCUUGAGGCGUGGCUUCCGGAGCUAACGCGUUAAGUAGACCGCCUGGGGAGUACGGCCGCAAGGUUAAAACUCAAAUGAAUUGACGGGGGCCCGCACAAGCGGUGGAGCAUGUGGUUUAAUUCGAUGCAACGCGAAGAACCUUACCUGGUCUUGACAUCCACGGAAGACUGCAGAGAUGCGGUUGUGCCUUCGGGAACCGUGAGACAGGUGCUGCAUGGCUGUCGUCAGCUCGUGUUGUGAAAUGUUGGGUUAAGUCCCGCAACGAGCGCAUCCUUAUCCUUUGUUGCCGGCGGUCCGGCCGGGAACUCAAAGGAGACUGCCACUGAUAACUGCAGGAAGGUGGGGAUGACGUCAAUCAUCAUGGCCCUUACGACCGGGCUACCCCGUGCUACAUGGCAUUACAAAGAGAACGACCUCCCAAAACAACGGACCUCAAAAUUUGUCUUAUCCGGAUGGAGCCGCACCCCCCCCCUGAUCCGAUCCCUAAAAUCGGGAACAAAAGCCCGGGAAAACCUCCCGGCCUUUAACCCCCCCCUCCCCAUGGGAGGGGUUGCAAAAAAAGGGGCUUACCUUGGAGGGGCUUCCCUUUGGUUUGGC
rnacentral:rRNA from 1 species